rnacentral:lncRNA from 1 species
UAUAUAAGAAUUCUUUCAAUAUAUUUUAUUGUUGAGAAGUAAUUAGUAACUAUUACCCAACGGGUCAUGCAUCAUGUCGUGCUUGUUGAAAUAGCUUGAAAAUCCAUGUAAUCAUUAAGUCUAAGGCAGAAGGUUGAGUGAUAACCUCUGCCUAAUUCUUUGUCCAAGUAGCCUUGGACAAAGCUUUCUGCCUUUUAGUCUUCCUAUUAUACCAACCUUCAUAUAUAUAUAUAUAUAUAUAUAUAUAUAAAUACAGAACUAUGAGAGGGGUUCCUUAAGCUCUCUAGAAAUAUAUUUCUCUGUUUUAAUCUCAAGUUAAUAUCAGAGUGGGUCAAUCCUGUUUUGGUUUCUAUCUUGUCUCAUCUGUCAUGACUAUCAUUGCUGUCUGCAUCUGUUGGGCACUAUUUGCUGCUGUCCACAGUUGUCUAGCUCUUUACUACAGAUGUCCACUGCUGGUUGAAGCUGUCCAACACUGUCAGCCUCUGUUCUUUGCCGGUCAGCCACUGUCUGCCGCUGUUUGUCAUUGUCCACCGUCACAGUUUCGUCUAGCAACCACUAGAUCUGGAUCGCCUCUCCAAGCGACGACGACCAACCCCGCCGGUGCUGAGGGCCAGUUCGCUGCCAUGCGCAUUGUCUUUGUCAGUUGCUCCUAGGAGCGUACUGUUCACGCAUCGCCUUUUGCUUAUUGAAAUGUCACCGCACCACCUUCAUAGUUGUCGUUGGUCUCUCCUCUUUCUAUUCUGACCCUCAAAACUUUAUUUUAGUGAAGUCCGAAGCUACCCUUGAAGAAAAGCCCUAGAGUUUUCUAUUCCCUUGCUCCCUCACUCUUUUUUUUUUUUUAUCAGAAAGGGUGACUGGAAGUGUUAUUUCAUUCUCUGAAAGUCCCUCAAUUUCUUCCGAGAAGCUAAAUGGAAAAAUUAUCUAUCUUGGUUUGCUAUUGUUGGAAUGUUGUUUCUUGGCCUAGGACAUCAUGAUCACCAUGAACGAGAGGGAAGCCAUGUGCUUGCUGAAAAAGCUGAACAGUGGAAACAAGCUGAUUUCCAAUUGUGUGCCCUGUUUUGGAAAUCAGUGGAACCAAGACUUAUGUCCCUUAGAGCUUUUAAAACUUGUUAUUUCUUUUGGAAGAAAGCUCAAAGCAUCUAUGCUAACGAUAUUGAACGACUCUAUGAACAAAUUUGCAUCUUUUAAAAUGGCAGACCAAGAUAUGAUAUUCUUUAUGACUAAAGCCCAAUCUACUGUUGAAGAAUUGAGGAUGAUUCUAGAAUUCGAAUCUUUGGAGGAUAUCAAGAAGAGAUUGGACAAAUAUUGUAUGGCGAUGAUCCUUUGUGCUCUAUAUUGCAUCAAAUCUAGUAUUUCACGAGAGAUCUAAACAUAUAGAAAUUGAUUGUCAUUUUGUUCGUGAGAAGUUGUUUAGAAAAGAAAUAUGUAUUGAGUAUGUUAGAUUAAAUGACCAACUCGCAUAUGUGUUGACCAAGUCCUUAACGGGUUUGUUCCAAGCUUGGUAUAUACAAUUUGUAUGUUCCAACUUGAAGGGGAGGAGGUUGGGUGUUAGAUAACCUUUUCCCCUAGUUCUCUUUCCAAGUAGCCUAGGAUAGAAAUUUUUGCCUUUUAGUCUUCCUAUUGUAUCAACCUUCAUAUAUAUGAAUACAGAACUAUGAGAGCGGUUCCUUAAGCCCUAUGGAAAUAUAUUUCUCUGUUUUAAUCUCAAGUGAGCCCUAUGGAAAUAUAUUUCUUUGUUUUAAUCUCAAGUGAGCUGUUGGUGCACCAUAGGGUUUGAGUUAUCGAACUCAUGUUUUUGGAUUUUUAGGUGGGGCUUGUGAUGACCCGAUUUAAAAAAAUUAAAAGGAUGGCUCUUUAUCUCCUAGGAUUCCCAAUAGCAAAUAAAAACCAAAUAAUUAUGCUCGAUGACACCCAUAAUUGAUGACACUCCCAUCAUCAUGGUCGUCAUUGCAGCACUAAUGUUGUUGUCACGCUUGCUUCACCAUCAACAAUCACAUCACCAUCUCCAUUUCUCUCAUCAACACCGUCGGUGCUGCCUUUACCAUCAUCAAUUGUAGCCUUCGUCUUCAACUAUGUUAUGUUCUAUAAUUUUUCUUAGUAAUAUGUUCUUCUGAUCUUUCUGCCAUUUAUUAGUUAUUAUGAGAAAAUUAUGACAUGGGAAUGUAUUUUACCUGUCUAUAUUAUUUUUAAUGCAUGCAGAGGUUUGUAAAUAUAGUUUUUCAUAUCCUCCGUAAACUCUUACAAGUCAAGUUUGAGGAUCUUUUAUCUCUCCUUCCUUUUAUUAUGCUUGAGUUUGACAACAUUGAAUAUAACUUUGCAUAUUACCUCUUGUGCCCCUUUUGUUUUCUCUUUUC